ACUCCUACGGGAGGCAGCAGUGGGGAAUAUUGCACAAUGGGCGCAAGCCUGAUGCAGCCAUGCCGCGUGUAUGAAGAAGGCCUUCGGGUUGUAAAGUACUUUCAGCGGGGAGGGAGGCGACAGGGUUAAUAACCCUGUCGAUUGACGUUACCCGCAGAAGAAGCACCGGCUAACUCCGUGCCAGCAGCCGCGGUAAU
rnacentral:rRNA from 1 species